rnacentral:tRNA from 1 species
GUUUUAAUAGUUUAUUAUAAAACAUUGGUCUUGUAAACCAAAAAUAAGUUAUGCUUUUAAAACUUCAAAGGAAAGAAAAUCUUAUCAUUAAUUUCCAAAA